UACGGAGGGUGCAAGCGUUAUCCGGAUUCACUGGGUUUAAAGGGUGCGUAGGCGGGCAGGUAAGUCAGUGGUGAAAUCUCCGAAGCUUAACUCGGAAACUGCCGUUGAUACUAUUUGUCUUGAAUAUUGUGGAGGUAAGCGGAAUAUGUCAUGUAGCGGUGAAAUGCUUAGAUAUGACAUAGAACACCAAUUGCGAAGGCAGCUUACUACACAACGAUUGACGCUGAGGCACGAAAAGCGUGGGGGAUCAAACAGG
rnacentral:rRNA from 1 species